GGCCUUACAAUGUUGUAUAUAUAAAAAUCUCUUAAUGCCCAUCUCAUUUCUCAAUACAUUGUCGGUUAGGUUUGGGAUGCAUCUGGGAUUUGCGUGCCAGAGGUGUCAUCCCUUCGGUGUCAUCGGCUUCAUGCCCAGCAAUACUACCCACAUAACUAGUCGCAGCCGGUGCACGAUUCCCGGCCGAGCAAAGUCUGAACUGAGUUACCGACAACCAAACUUGGGGCCACGAACGAUCCCAGCCAAAGUCUGCUCAUCUGCUACGUGCUUCGUCUGCCCAUUCGGUUCAUGGCUAGCUGCCAUAGGAACUAAGCGACGACACUUCUGACAGGCUGUUGGAAGAUGACGGUGAAACAAUUGUAUAGUUGGUAAUUUGCACCUUUAAGCAAGCUCGAGCCUGCUUUGUGCCGAGACGGCGAGAUGGACCAAUUUGCGAUGCUCAUAUAGAAUAGUGGAGUACAUCCUGGCCUUCAUGUAAAUUUCUUUAAUGAGUACUGUAUUUAUCGAACAAAGUAAAAUCAGCAUUACAGUUUUUAUCUA